AUGCCACCAAUUAAGCUGACUCUCCCUCUUUCUCGCGGAGGUCCGAUGUGUGGUGGCUGUGGACUAUAGCCCCUUUGGGAGUGGGCGCAGCCUGUGGCUUGUUCAGUCACCUUAAGGGAUCUUGGGGACAGCC
rnacentral:snoRNA from 1 species